rnacentral:rRNA from 1 species
CUGCUCAAUGAUUUUUUAAAUUGCUGUGGUAUUUUGACUAUACAAAGGUAUUGAAAUAAGAUUUUAAUUGAAUGCUAAGAGAAUGGAAUUUCAGAAAAAAACUUUUUUCAAGUUAAAAAUUGAAAUUUUUUCAAUUUGUGCAGAAACAAUUAUUAAUAUUAAGGACAAGAAGACCCUAUGAAUUUAUAAAUUUUAUUUAAUAUGUAACUACUAUUGAAAAAAUUUUAGCUGGGGCGGCGGAAAAAUAUUUAAAACUUUUUUAAAAUAAAAUGACCCAUUAUUAAUGAUUAUAUGUUAAAUACUCUAGGGAUAACAGCGU